UUUGCUUUUCUUUAGUAAUCUUUGUAAUACGGUUUUAUGGUUACAGACAUUCCUCUCUUUAGUCAUUGGAAAAUAUCCUCUUUUCUGGUUCAUUUUUGUUUCAAGAUGGCUAUAAAAACUGAGCCUUAAAUUAUAGUAAAGAGAAUAAAAACUGUUUUAUCCUGCCUGAUAUUUUAUAAGGCAUACUCUUAGAUAAAUAACUUAAGAAAAUGGCAGAUCAUCCUCCCCCUCAGACAUUUGUUCCUAGUUCUCCCUACGCCAUCAAACCAAAAAUACAAGCACACUACCUGGAACUAGAAUAGGUAGGUAUUUGUUGAGUGAAUGAAUUUACUUUACCAGUUAGCAUAAUCUUUAUAUUUCAUAAUCCUAUUUUAUCGUGUAUCAUUAUGGAUAAUAACAUGGCAGGGACUGUCAUGUUGCUCCUGGCUGGACGAGAGUAGCCUAAGAGAUAGUUUGUUAGAAUGAUGCUUUUAAGUGAUAUCCUUAAUCACUGUCUAUAGAAUGUGUAUUCUCUGCAGUGAUAACUUGUGCCGCCUCACCUGGACUCCUCUUGUGUCCGUAGUAUGCCUUUGUAAUACAGCUUCUGUAGUAUUCAUGGCCAUGGAACAGAGUAAAAGUGACUCACUUUGUUGGCAGGUGUGUGCAAGCUGGAGGCUGAGCAAUUUAAAGUUCAUGUCAAAAUUGAGAAGGAAGGUAAAGAGAUCUGCUUCCUGCCCCCACAACAUGCAGAGCUUCCCCCAUCAUUGACCUUCCCCACCAGGGUCACAUAUCUGUUACAACUGCUGAACCUACAUUGACAUCCAUCACAUUUCGAGUGAAAUUCACGUUUGCUUCCGUGGCCAAAGAGUCCUGAAAUGACUUGAUUUCUGACUGGUUCUCCAGCUCAGUUUGUUUCCACUUGCCCUUGGCUAACUGUACUUCAGAUCACAGGCCUUCUGUCCAUUCCUAGAAUGGCCAAGCUGUUUUCUAUGGUGGAACAGCUCUGCUGGUACCCUGAUGACCUUGUGUUUAUCCACUUAGGUCAGACUUUGUUCAGGGUGACCCGAGCCUUAGAAUGAAUGCCCUGUGAUGUUCCUGGAACACGAGGAUAUGGGACAUGUAGGGAUGACCAUGUGCCACUUCAUGUUUGCCUCCCUGUCUUCCAAGGAGGACAUGUGAGACAGUUUGUCAUUGCCUCUGGAUUUUGAUGAAGUAUGAGACUUUCCACUCUGAGGCUUUUUACGGUGUAGCCGGAGGCCACAAGUUGCUUCGCUGCAACAUGGAAUCAGCAUCUUGGCACCAGGGUGCCCUGCUCCUUAUGUUGCAUUAUCCCCUAUCUUUCAUCUUUCAUGCCUUCUCCUUUUUGUGUCUUCCCUUGGGACAAGACUCAUGGAGAGCUGGCAGUUUGCCUUUCUUUUGCUAUCUCUCUAGGUAAUGAUUGUCUGACUCCAACAAGGGUCUGCUGUUUCUUUAGUAAUUGAAUCUUGCUUGCUACUUCCACUGAGGAUGUUGGUUACUCUUCCUUCUGCCUGCAUUGCCCUUUCCUUGAGUUAAGGUGUACCUCUUAAUUAAUGCACCUCUUGGGUUGGCCAGCCAAUGUUGGCUUUAACAUAAUAUGAAUAUGUUCAGACCCUGCUUAACCCAGACUAUUAUAAAAUCUUAAGAACUCAAGCUUUUUUGAAUGUUGCAAAUAAAUACCUGCAGAAAUCCUGAUAAAUUAGGCAAAGAGUACAGAAACCACAACAAAAGUUUAGGUCACUUGUUUAAUAUACAAAGUCUUUCACAGAUAAUUAUUUUCCUUAAUUUGUCUUAGUACACAUUAUUCACAAAACAAUAAGUUGUUAAUGCAAGAGAAUUAGGUAAAACCAAAAAAGUACAAAUGCUCAAUCUCAAAAAUUGCACACAGUUAAAAUCUUUUUUUUUUUUUUUUUUUUUAAAUAUGAUCUCCAAUUUCAAAAUGGGCUUUCUUCAGAUUUGGAGGAAACACUGCAGCCCAAAUAACAGUACUUCCUUUGAGCUGUAUUGAUAUGUAAAAUAGCACCUUUGGGCUGAGUUAAGGAAAGGAAAAAGGUUUUUCAUCUUUCUUAUUAAUUAAAGUAUGAGUCCUAUACAUUUAUUACAUAACAAUUACAAUAAUGGUAAUAAGUUUAAAGAGCUCUACUUUGUUCCAGAAUAUUCAAAGGUAAGGUAAGGAAAGGUAAACUGUCAGGUGAAAGAAUGCAGUAAUCUUCCCCACCUCACCCCCUUGACAAUUAGAGUAUCUUAACGAUGCCAUUGCUCUAAUGAGCUAAUUUUCCAGCCAAAUAGUAGGUGUUUUAGGGGUACCUAAGGACUUCUUGGAAAACAGGAUAAAUGUGGCUGUCUGGGACAGUAUAAUCACAUGUAAUAGCAGCUCCGAGUGAGAUUUCAUCUUGGGGCAUUUUGAAAGACUCCUUUAAUAAAUACUUGUUUUCAGUUUCUCCAUUGCUGUAUCCCAGGUUGAUUGGAUCAUUUUUGUUUUGAUUUUUUGUUUGUUUUGCUUGUGUUUGUUCUUAAGCGUCAUUGCUUUCUGGACUUCACUUUAAGAAAAAAAAUACUGGGAUUUCAUUCCUUUACAAUUCAGUCUUUGACACAAUAAAAGUGAGAGUUCUUUGAAAAAUUAA